rnacentral:rRNA from 1 species
UACGUAGGGGGCUAGCGUUGUCCGGAAUCAUUGGGCGUAAAGAGCGUGUAGGCGGCCCGGUAAGUCCGCUGUGAAAGUCGGGGGCUCAACCCUCGAAUGCCGGUGGAUACUGUCGGGCUCGAGGGAGACAGGGGCAGGUGGAACUUCCGGUGGAGCGGUGAAAUGCGUUGAGAUCGGAAGGAACUCCGGUGGCGAAAGCGGCCUGCUGGAUCUCUACUGACGCUGAGGCGCGAAAGCCAGGGGAGCAAACGGGG